GACGAACGCUGGCGGCGUGCCUAAUACAUGCAAGUAGAACGCUGAAGGAGGAGCUUGCUUCUCCGGAUGAGUUGCGAACGGGUGAGUAACGCGUAGGUAACCUGCCUGGUAGCGGGGGAUAACUAUUGGAAACGAUAGCUAAUACCGCAUAACAGUAGAUGUUGCAUGACAUUUGCUUAAAAGGUGCAAUUUCAUCACUACCAGAUGGACCUGCGUUGUAUUAGCUAGUUGGUGAGGUAACGGCUCACCAAGGCGACGAUACAUAGCCGACCUGAGAGGGUGAUCGGCCACACUGGGACUGAGACACGGCCCAGACUCCUACGGGAGGCAGCAGUAGGGAAUCUUCGGCAAUGGACGGAAGUCUGACCGAGCAACGCCGCGUGAGUGAAGAAGGUUUUCGGAUCGUAAAGCUCUGUUGUAAGAGAAGAACGAGUGUGAGAGUGGAAAGUUCACACUGUGACGGUAUCUUACCAGAAAGAGACGGCUAACUACGUG
rnacentral:rRNA from 1 species